UACGAAGGGGGCUAGCGUUGUUCGGAAUUACUGGGCGUAAAGCGCACGUAGGCGGAUAUUUAAGUCAGGGGUGAAGUCCCGCAGCUCAACUGCGGAACUGCCUUUGAUACUGGGUAUCUAGAGUAUGGAAGAGGUGAGUGGAAUUCCGAGUGUAGAGGUGAAAUUCGUAGAUAUUCGGAGGAACACCAGUGGCGAAGGCGGCUCACUGGUCCAUUACUGACGCUGAGGUGCGAAAGCGUGGGGAGCAAACAGG
rnacentral:rRNA from 1 species